rnacentral:misc_RNA from 1 species
AAAGUCGUAACAAGGUUUCCGUAGGUGAACCUGCGGAAGGAUCAUUAACACGUAUCCAACGUUAAACAACCCUGUGAACUUUCAGCCGCUCUUGGAGCCUGGCGGAUAGCAAUGUCCAAAAGGCUACAAUCGAGCGUAGAAGCAGUGACAUGGCUUCCUCACAGCAGCUAGAGAAAGAAUACUAGCUGCGAGGAUAACGCCUCACGGUUGCUAGAGGUCGAUCACCGGCCGGCAGACAUGUCACAGGGCGCUCGCGCCCCCUAAUCACCCCUUGCAAAUAAAUUCCCACCUAGCGGUAACGCGCUGGAGAAAAACGAACAACUGUUAACAAUGGAUAUCUUGGUUCUC